GAGGAGAAAACAGAGGGUCAACAGUGGAGCACCAACGACACAUCCUCACCUCUCUGUGAAAGGCUACUGAGGCAGGCAAGCAAUUAACAAUACACACACAACACUGGAGGAAUGCAGGUCAGGCAGCAUAUAGGAGAGGAAUGAGCAGUCCACGUUUAGUCAAUUAACAAAUUUAUCCAGUGCAAUGGUUAAUGUGCAUACAGUCCUGUAAGUGAACUCAUGAGGGGGGGCAUUUAGGGUAUACUCAAGCAAGCUUUUCUCCACUGAGGUCAGAUGAGACGACUAGAGGUCACAGGUCAAGGACGCAAGCUGAAAUGUCUAAGGGGAAUACGAGUGGGAAUUUCACUCGGAGCACGGCUGGUGUGUGGAACGAGCUGCCUGUGGAAGCGGUAGACAUGGGUUCAAUUCCAGCAUCUAAGAGGGAUUUGGAUAGGUACAUUAAUGGGAGAGGUAUGGAGGACUAUGGCCCAAGGUAAAUUAAUAGUUCGGCACAAACUAGACGGGCCAAAGGACCUACUUCUGUGCUGGUAGCGUUCUUUGACUCAAUGACUGUGUAAUGCUCUGGUUAAGGAUUUUACUGCUCUGCUAUAGGCAUUUCAUAUUAGCAGUUCUGUAAGAACGGUCUAUUCUGUUUUUAGAAAUGCUUGGGUCUUGGCUAAAAGAUAAGAAGCUACGAUGUUCAACUUAGCAACGUGGUGUCAGCUAAUCAGGAUGGCAGAAUCAGGAGAAAGUUCGAGAGAGUGGGGCGGAGAGAGAUUUGAAAUGGACAAUAUGGUUUGCGGUUUAUUUUUUGGGGGGAGUUACGGAGAAGACAGCAGGGAAGAUGGCUGCGGACGCCGUGGGAAGGGGCAUCCCUGUUUCACAUGGUGCUUUGUGCAGAUGAAUGGCUCCAAGGAGGAGGGGUCAAUACCCCCGAGAGAGAGCCCAUUACUUCAAGAUGGACUUUGAGCGAAGAUCGGAAUGUGGUGUGUGCUUUCAUGCAGAACUUGGGUCCAGCGGGUGAGUAAACAGACAACUUCAACGUGAGCUCCAACCUCGCCUGCAGCACAGCAUGCACAGGACCAGUCAAGUUUUAAAAGGACAGAAAAUGGAAGAAUUCAUGGAUUCAUAAACAGCGAAUCAAGAUGCUCUUCCUAGAAGAUGAAAAAGGAAGAAGGAGGGUUCCCAGAGCUGUCGUGCACCCUUCUGGGGACAAAAAAGACCAUUUCUUGCAGUCUUGGAAUCAACUCCUACAACACACCACAGAGGAGGAGGCAGAACCUGAGAUUGUUUCUCUGCCGCAAGCCUCACCUGCCAAACAGAGCGAUUCCCUCACUCACCCACAUCAAGCAAGAAAUCCUCCACAGGAAUUAAAUCUUUAGGCCCGAAUGAGACAACCUAAAAAAGACUAUACUGUACUGAGGCUGCAUGAUAAUAGUUCACUGUGCAUAAAGUUGAGAUGUAUAUUGAGUUGAAGUUUCCAUUUAAGCAGGGAGGAGUAAAUAUAUUGUUAGAUUAAGCAUUCUUUGUUUACAUGGUUCAUUGUGGUUAUAUGUAACAAUGCAUGGAUGGCUUACAAUGCAACGUGUCACAAUGCGCACCUCACUUAAAGUUAGUCUUGCAUUCCCAGCUUGCUUGUGUUUCCUUUGAAUUAAACGUUUUGAAGUUACUAAACAUAACACUGCUUUUUGUAGGACAGAUCGUUGGUGUUUCCAUACCAGGCUGUGAGGUAGCCAGCCCAAUACAUUCUCCACCACAUAUCUAUUGAAAUUUGUCAGGGUUUUAGAUGCCAUGCUGAAUCUUCACAAACUCCUCAAGAAGUAAAGGCACUGCCAUGCUUGCUUCAUAACUGCACUUGCGUGCUGGGCUCGGGACAGGUCCUCUGAAAUGAGGACACUGAGGAAUUUAAAGUUGCUGACUCUAUCCACCUCUUAUCCUCCAAUGAGGACUGACUCAUGGACCUCUGGUUUCUUCAGUAAUCAGCUUCUUGUUCUUGCUGACAUAGAGUGACAAGCUGUGGCACCACUCGGCCAGAUUUCCCUUCUCCUUCCUAAAUGCUGUAUCCUAACUGGUGGUAUCACGAUCUUAUCUGGAAACACCAAUGCCCACGGACUGGAAAAGUUACAGAAAGUGGUGGAUACAGGCAUCCUAUCACAGGCUAAGCCCUCGCCACCACUGAUCACAUCCACAGGGAUGGUGCCACACGAAGGCAGCAUCCAUCAUCAGGAGCCUCCACCAUCCAAGCCAUGUUCUCCUCUCACUACCACCAUCGACCGGGAGGUACAGGGGCCUUAAUUCUCACACCACAAGAUUCAGGAGCAGUUAUCAUCCUACAACCAUCAGGCUUCAGAACCAGCAUGGAUAACUUCACUCACCACAACUCUGAAGUGAUUUUAUGACCCAGAGGUCGAGUUUCAAGGACUCCUUACAACUCACAUUCUCAGUAUUG